ACAUUUCAAAGAGAGCUUAUGGGACCAAAACCAAGCUCUUGUAACACUGUGACCUAAGAUUGAAAUUCUCCAUAGGGUGUAACAGAUACUCAAUAGUGCUAUGUUUUCCUGAGGAAAUAUAAGA
ensembl:snoRNA small nucleolar RNA SNORA25